rnacentral:rRNA from 1 species
AGCAGCCGCGGUAAUUCCAGCUCCAAUAGCGUAUAUUAAAGUUGUUGCAGUUAAAAAGCUCGUAGUUGAACCUUAGGCCCGUGCGGGUGGUCCGUCCUCUGGGCGAGCACUGCGUCGUCGCGGGUCUCACCUUCUGGCGAGCGUGGAUGCCAUUUCACUUGGUGUCCGCGGGAACCAGGACCUUUACCUUGAAAAAUUAGAGUGCUCAAAGCGGGCUCGUACGCUUGAAUACAUUAGCAUGGAAUAAUGAAAUAGGACGACGGUUCUAUUUUGUUGGUUUCCGGGACAGUCGUAAUGAUUAAUAGGGAUAGUUGGGGGCAUUCGUAUUCAAUUGUCAGAGGUGAAAUUCUUGGAUUUAUUGAAGACGAACUACUGCGAAAGCAUUUGCCAAGGAUGUUUUCAUUAAUCAAGAACGAAAGUUGGGGGAUCGAAGACGAUCAGAUACCGUCG